GAGUCUAGAUUCAGUUGAUGAGUGACCUAAGAGUUGUUUGAGGGGCCUAAGAAAAUAGAUGAAGUGAAUUAUCUUGAGUAAGUGAUUGUAUGACAUGAUGUCAGUUCUAAAUAUACAUAUAUACAUACACACACACACACACUUAUUAUUAGCUUAGUAGAAUUAAAUAAUUAUGACCUACAAUGAGUCAUUUCUGGUUGUUGUUACGUGC
rnacentral:lncRNA from 1 species